UGAAUUGUAGCUAAAAUAAGUACUUCACUUACGUUGGAGAGAUUGCCCUCAGGGGCACAAUUUAA
rnacentral:tRNA from 1 species